rnacentral:rRNA from 1 species
GUGUAGCGGUGAAAUGCGUAGAGAUGUGGAGGAACACCAGUGGCGAAGGCGACUCUCUGGUCUGUAACUGACGCUGAGGAGCGAAAGCGUGGGGAGCGAACAGGAUUAGAUACCCUGGUAGUCCACGCCGUAAACGAUGAGUGCUAAGUGUUAGGGGGUUUCCGCCCCUUAGUGCUGCAGCUAACGCAUUAAGCACUCCGCCUGGGGAGUACGGUCGCAAGACUGAAACUCAAAGGAAUUGACGGGGGCCCGCACAAGCGGUGGAGCAUGUGGUUUAAUUCGAAGCAACGCGAAGAACCUUACCAGGUCUUGACAUCCUCUGACAAUCCUAGAGAUAGGACGUCCCCUUCGGGGGCAGAGUGACAGGUGGUGCAUGGUUGUCGUCAGCUCGUGUCGUGAGAUGUUGGGUUAAGUCCCGCAACGAGCGCAACCCUUGAUCUUAGUUGCCAGCAUUCAGUUGGGCACUCUAAGGUGACUGCCGGUGACAAACCGGAGGAAGGUGGGGAUGACGUCAAAUCAUCAUGCCCCUUAUGACCUGGGCUACACACGUGCUACAAUGGACAGAACAAAGGGCAGCGAAACCGCGAGGUUAAGCCAAUCCCACAAAUCUGUUCUCAGUUCGGAUCGCAGUCUGCAACUCGACUGCGUGAAGCUGGAAUCGCUAGUAAUCGCGGAUCAAAAGGCCGCGGUGAAUACGUUCCCGGGCCUUGUACACA